rnacentral:rRNA from 1 species
CCAUGGGCGGCGGCCUACACAUGCAAGUCGAGCGGUAACAGAAAGUAGCUUGCUACUUUGCUGACGAGCGGCGGACGGGUGAGUAAUGCUUGGGAACAUGCCUUUAGGUGGGGGACAACAGUUGGAAACGACUGCUAAUACCGCAUGAUGUCUACGGACCAAAGGGGGCUUCGGCUCUCGCCUAAAGAUUGGCCCAAGUGGGAUUAGCUAGUUGGUGAGGUAAUGGCUCACCAAGGCAACGAUCCCUAGCUGGUUUGAGAGGAUGAUCAGCCACACUGGAACUGAGACACGGUCCAGACUCCUACGGGAGGCAGCAGUGGGGAAUAUUGCACAAUGGGCGCAAGCCUGAUGCAGCCAUGCCGCGUGUGUGAAGAAGGCCUUCGGGUUGUAAAGCACUUUCAGUCAGGAGGAAAGGUUAGUAGUUAAUACCUGCUAGCUGUGACGUUACUGACAGAAGAAGCACCGGCUAACUCCGUGCCAGCAGCCGCGGUAAUACGGAGGGUGCGAGCGUUAAUCGGAAUUACUGGGCGUAAAGCGUACGCAGGCGGUUUGUUAAGCGAGAUGUGAAAGCCCCGGGCUCAACCUGGGAACUGCAUUUCGAACUGGCAAACUAGAGUGUGAUAGAGGGUGGUAGAAUUUCAGGUGUAGCGGUGAAAUGCGUAGAGAUCUGAAGGAAUACCGAUGGCGAAGGCAGCCACCUGGGUCAACACUGACGCUCAUGUACGAAAGCGUGGGGAGCAAACAGGAUUAGAUACCCUGGUAGUCCACGCCGUAAACGAUGUCUACUAGAAGCUCGGAUCUUCGGAUCUGUUUUUCAAAGCUAACGCAUUAAGUAGACCGCCUGGGGAGUACGGCCGCAAGGUUAAAACUCAAAUGAAUUGACGGGGGCCCGCACAAGCGGUGGAGCAUGUGGUUUAAUUUCGAUGCAACGCGAGAAUCUUUACCUACACUUGACAUACAGAGAGCUUACCAGAGAUGGGUUUGGUGCCUUCGGGAACUCUGAUACAGUGCUGCAUGCUGUCGUCAGCUCGUGUGUGAGAUGUGGAUCAGUCCGCAACGAGCGUACUCCUAUCUUAGUUGCUAGCAAGUAAUGCUGAGAACUCUACGAACUGCCGUGCAUAGACCCGGUAGAAGGUUGGGGACGACGUUCA